UCCAGCUACUCUGGAGGCUGAGGCAGGAGAAUAGCUUAAACCUGGGAGGCGGAGGUUGCAAUGAGUCCAGACCAUGCCACUGCACUCCAGCCUGGGCAGCAGAGCAACAAUCGGUCUUGGGGCGGGGGAAGAAAGUGUUUUGUCAAGAUCACCAAUGACUUAUUUGUUGUUAAAUCCUGUGAACACUCUUUACUGUCCUCAUCCUACUUGAUAUGCUUGGCUUCCAUGAGUGCAUGCUUUUCUAGUUUUUCUCUAAUCUCACAGGUUACUCUUCAAUCUUCUCCUCUUCUCCCUUCAUUCUCCCUUAAACAUGGGUUUUCUUCGGGAUUUCAGUAUUUUCUUCUCUUCUGAAUCUACACUCUCCCCUUUAGCUCAUUUCAUACACUCUACAGUUUGAAUUACCAUUUAUAAACUGGUAACUCCUACAACUAUACUCUCAACCUAGAUCUUGUUCCUAGUCUCCAGCUUUGUACACUAGACAACCUAUCACACAUCUCUACCUGAAUGUUCAACUGACACCUGAUCAGAUUUCAUGAACAAAGUAAAACAUCAAUUUCCUCCACAAAAGCUGUUCUCCAGCAUUGGCUAAUUCAAUGAGAGGCUCCAACAUCCAUUUGCCCAAGCAACUCUAGGAAGGCUUCCUGGAGAAAGCAGCAUCUAAACUCUCAACAAGGAACAAACCUAAAGGUGGAGAGUGGGGGUUGGGGGAUGGGGGUGCAAGAAGGGGAGCCAAAUAAGAGACUGGCCUAUUUGAAGGACCGAAGUACACAGUUCAAUACAUCUGGAGUAGAGAUGUGAACCCCUAGCUUAAAGAGACGAACCAAAGUGGCUAGGUGAUGCUUACUAGCUGUUCAUUUUAUUUUUUUAUGUUGAAAGAUUUUCCUUGAUAGAAACAAUGGAUUGAAAAUAGGAGUCAACAAAACACUGAAUCAGGGGUGGAAAGGACCUAAUGUGAUUCAAGCUAACUGCUUCACAUUAUACUUAAGGAAACUAGGUCCAGAAAAGUUAAAACUACCUAGGCAAGAUUACACAGCUAGUUAGUGACACAGCUGAGAGUAAAACUAAUACACUCAAUUGUACCCUUUCUUUCAUAAUAUCUACUAUCUAGUUCCAUUUUUCUUUGGUUAUUUAAAAAAUUAUAUCAUUUACACUAUGUCAUGGGUCAAACAUUUCAUUAUUAUUAUUUUUAGCGACAGGGUCUCACUCUGCUUCUCAGGCUGGAGUGCAAUGGCACCAUCAUAGCUCACUGCAGCCUUGAACUCAGGGGCUCAACCAAUUCUCUCGCCUCAGCCUCCUGAGUAGCUAGGACCACCGGCAUAUGCCACAAUGCCCAGCUAAUUUUUUUCUUUUAAAUUUUUUGUAGAGACAGAGUCUCACUUUGUUGCCCAGGCUGUUGUGAACUCCAGGCUGUUUUGAACUUCAAGCAAUCCUGCAGCCUCAGCCUUACAAAGUGCUGGGAUUACAGGUGUAGGCCAUCAUGCCUGGCCCAAAUGUUUCUUUGUAAAUGUCUUUGUAUCUUGAGCAAAGGGCUUUUAUUAUCCUUAGCUGUAUGUAUGUAUGUAUUUAGUACAGAAGGGUCUCGCUAUGUUGCCCAGGCUGAACUUGAACUCCUAGGCCCAAGUGAUCCUCCCGCCCUGGUCUCCUAAAUAGCUGGAACUUCAGGCAUACAUCACUGGACUAGGCUACUGUCCUUAGCUUUUAUGGCACAUCUUAGCUCAGGCCUCAGUUUUCCCGAUAUUCUAACCCUAAAAAGGCUCAUGCUUUUCAUUUUAGUCAUCCUUACAUGCCUCUCUGUCAAUCAAUUUUACAUAUAAAUAAUAUUCCUGGGUAAAAUUAAAGUGUAUGAAAUCUUCCAUUUCUAUCAAUUUAACACAAAAUACAUAAAAAACAUGUGCUAGAAAAUAUUCAGAACAUUCUCAUUAAAAUCUUACCAACUGUCAUAACACAUCAGCUGAGAUCAAAUUAUCCAAUUUUUAAAUUAUGAAAUAUUUUAAAUGUUCAAAAAGGUAUAGUUAAGUAAUACAACAUUCAUGUACCCACUACCCAGCUACAUAUAAAAUCCUAACAUUUUUUACUUGUUACAUAUCUGUUAAAGAAACAGAAUAUCAUAGACAUUGUUGAAGCUCCCUCUAUAACCCUCCCCACUCCUAUUUCCCUCCCUCCCUCUACUAUGGUAACCACUACCAUGUAUUUCACGGUUAGGAUUUUUAUACACAUUUUAUAUUACUACAUAUGUAAACAUCUAUAAAUAAUAUAUGGAUGUACUUUGCACUGUUUCAAACUCUACACAUUAUGUGCUAUUCUGCAAUUUGCUAUUUUCAUACAACACUAUGUUUGAAAUUUACCCAUCUUAAUACAUGUUGCUCUAGUUCAGGGAUUGGCAAAUCUUUUAAGGACCAGCCAGAAACUAUUUUAGGCUUUAUGGACUAUAUAUCUCUGUCACAACUAUUUAUCUCUGCUGUUACAGAGCAAAAGCAGUCAGAGACAAUCUAAAUGAAUGAGGGUGGCUGUGUUCCAAUAAAAAUUAUUAUUCUUAUUUAUUGUUUUCUGAGAUAGGAUCUGACUCUGUCAGCCAGGCUGGAAUGCAGGAGCAUGAAUAUGGCUCACUGCAGCCUUGACCUCCUGAGCUCAAGUGAUUCUCCUGCCUCAGCCUCCCCUGUAGCUGGGACUACAGGCAUAUGCCACCACACUCAGCUCAUUUUAAAAUUUUUUUGUAGAGAUGGGGGUAUCACUUUGUUGCUCAGGCUGGUCUCAAACUCCUGGUUUCAAGCAAUCCUCCCGUCUUGGCCUCCCAAAGUGCUGGGAUUACAGCCACUGCACCUGGCCCAAUAAAAAUUAUCUACAAAAAUAGAUGAUAGGCCAGAUUUGCCAACCCCUGCUAUAAUUAAUCCAUUUUCAGUGCUUUAUAGAACUGUCACGUAAAAUUAUCUUAUCACCCAGUCUUCUGCUUGUGAACAUUGACACUGUUUCUAAACUUUCAUUUACAAAUACAUCAUUUACAAACAAUGGUACAGUGAAUCUUCUUAGAGAUUUCCUUGUGUAUGUGGGUCCUGUGUAGGGGGCCAUAUUUAGGAACAAAUUUUAACUUCACUAGUUUUUACAAAAGUAUUCUGCAAAGUGGUUGAUUCAAUUUAUAUUUCAACAGUGUAUAAAAGUUCUCAUUUUCCCACAUCUCUGCCAAUACUAGUAUUGUUAGGCUUUUCAAUUUUGGCCAGUUUGCUAAGUGUAUGGUUAUCUCAUAUUUUAUCUGCACUAGAGAUGCUUAGCAACUUUUAUAAGCUCAUUCACUAUUCAGUUUUCUACAUCUUUAAAUUACUUUUUCUUAUCAUCUUUUCAGUUUUCCAUUUGGUUGUCUUUUAUCAAUGGAAUAUUUUGAAUACUAAUUUUUCCCGGUUAUGUAGGUGACAAAUAAUCUUCUCCCAGUCUGUGCCUUGUCUUUUUACUUUGCCUACGGUAUCUUUUGCUAUUCAAGACUUUUACAUCUUAAUAUUAAAUCUUAAAUACUAAAUUGAUAUUUUUCCCUCACAAUUUGUGCUUUUUGUAGCUCAAGAAAUCUCUCCCUACUCCAAAUUUACAUAUUUCAUGUUUUCUUCUAAAUGUUUAAAAGUCUUGCUUUUCUCAUUCAUACUUUCAAUUAACCUGGAAUUGAUUAACCUAGAAUUGACUGUACUGAGGUAUAGACUGAAUUUUAAUUUUUCCAUAUGGAUAAUGAAUUGUCCAAGCAACAUUUAUUAAGAAUAGGCCAGGCCUGGUGGCUCACACCUGUAAUCCCAGCACUUUGGGAGGCUGAGGCGGGCAGAUCACCUGAGGUUGGGAGUUUGAGACCAGCCUGACCAAUAUGGAGAAACCUUGUCUCUAUUAAAAAUAUAAAAUUACCCGGGCAUGGUGGCGCAUGCCUGUAAUCCCAGUUACUCGGGAGGCUGAGGCAAGAGAAUCACUUGAACCCAGGAGGUGGAGGCUGCGAUGAGCCAAGAUCGCGCCACUGCACUCGCCUGGGCAACAAGAGUGAAACUCUGUCUCAAAAUAAACAAAUAAAUAAAUAAUUCAUCCUUUCCUCACUAGUUUAUAAUGCAAUCUUCUUUUGUAUAUUAACCUUUUCUACAAUUUGGACUUUCUAUUGUUUUAGUUUUCUUCUUCUGUAUAUUAGUACUAAUAAUUACCUGCCCUAAUUACUAUUGCUGUAUAGGUCUUAAUAUCUGACACAGCAAGUGUUCCCGCUUUCUUCAUGGUUUUCUUACUCUUGGCUCUUUGCUUUUCCAUAGAAAUAGUAAGACUAACUUUUUGAGUUCCCAUGAAAAAACCCAUUUGGUCUUUAUAAUAAAACAAUUUAUAUUCCUUUGGGUAUAACUCAAAUUAAAAAACCCAUUUGGAUACUGAUUCAAAAUAUACUGAAUCAAUAAAUCUGGGGAGAAGGGGCACUGGGUCUGUAUCUAUAAAUGUAGAAACACUGCUCCAUUUUUGUAAUGUUUCUCUAUGAAGAUUACGCCUAGGUAUUGGAGAGCUUUCACUGCUAUUCUGAAUAACAUGUUGUAAUUGAUUACUGGUUUAUAAGAACACUAUUGAUGUUUCUCUUGCAAUCUUGCUGAAGUUUCAUUAGUUCUAACAGUUUCUUGGUUCUCUUGGACUUUUCUCUGUAGACAAUUAUAUUGUCUUCAAAUGGGGAUAGUUUACUCUUUUCUUUCCAAUACUUAUAACUCUUACUCCUUUUUUGUUUUUUUCUCUUAUUGAAAUGGUUAGAUCCUCCAGUACGGUGUUGAACAGAAAUAUGGUUAGUGUCCAUCCAUGUCUUCUUUUUGGAUUUAAUGGGAAUACUUUCUAAAGUUUCAUAAUUGUGUAUGAUGUUUGCAAUAGGGUUUUUAAAAUCAGUCCUUUAUCAACUCAGAGAACAUUCCUUUCUACUUUUUGUAUUGAAUAUUAGAUUUUAUUGAAUUUUCUUGGCUUCUGAGAUGAUCAUACAGAUCUUAAAAAUCUUUAAUCUGUUUUUUUUUUGUUUUGUUUUUUCAGACACGGUCUUGCUGUGUUGCCCAGGCUGGUCUUGAACUCCUGGGCUCAAGCAAUCCUCCGGCCUUGGCCUCCCAAAGUGCUGGGAUUACAGGCGUAAGCCAAUACGCCCAGCCAAUCGGUUGUUAAUCUGGCAUUAUAUUCAUCUUUCUGAUGAACCAUACUUACAUUCCUAGGAUAAACUGUAUGUCUCUAUUUUUAAAAAAAUUACUUAAUUUGUGAGUUUGUAAGACAUUUUUUAUUUCUAUAAAUAGAAAACAUUCUAUUUAUAUGUGAGAUGAAUAUACAUACACAUUUUUCCUUGUUCUGUCCUUAUUGGGAUUUUAAGUUAUAAUCUUACAUAAUGAACUGGGGGGCUUCUCUUUUUCUAACUUCUGAAAAUUUUCAUUUAUGGUAGAAAUUAUUUAUUCUUUGAAGUGUUGAUAAGAUAUGCCUUAAAAACCUCUGGGCCUGAUGUCAUUCAAAAAGUGUCAUUCUGGCUGGUAUUUCCUUAAUGGUUGUUCAUUUAUUUGGUUUUCUAUUUUUUUUUUUUUUUGAGAGUCUAUUUCGGUCAUUAAAAUUUUCUAAACAAUUCCCAUUUUAUUAGGCUUCAAAAUUUAUUCGUAGUUGUUCAUAAUAUCCUCUUAAUCAUUUGAAAUAUCUCUAUGUCAAUUUUUACUGUUAAUAUUGUUUGCUGGUAUCUUUUCAUUUUCCUUGCACAAGCUCUGGAUUUCUUUUUAUAACAUUUUCUUUUCAAAGAAACACUUUCAGUUUUGCUGAUAUGUUUUAGUUUGUUUUAUUUCACUAAGUUGUGCUAUUAUUACUUCCAUUUUCUUGAGCUUUAUUUUGUACUUUUUCUAACUUCUUGAGUUGAACGCUCAAUUUGUCACUCUUUCUUGACAUUUUUUCCAUUAAUGCAUAUGAAGCUUUAACUGUCCCUUUGCAUCUCCCUUUAUUUGCAACCCACACUUCUGACAUGUAAUUCUUCCUAUAAUUACAAUUUUGAUAUACAUUUAUUACAAAUUUGGAAUUUCCAUUAUGAGUUCUUCUUUAACUCCUGGGAAAUGCAUUUUUAUGUUUUCAUAUAUUUGCCUUUUUUUAAGCUAUCCUUUUUGCAGCUCUAAUUUUAGAAUUCUAAUUUGAUUACAGAGAAAUGUGGCCAGAGAAUGUGUUCUUCGUGUAUAAUCUUUGAAAUUUGCUGAGAAUUUCUUUGUGACCUAGUACAUGGUCAAAUUUUGUGAAUGUUCCACGUAUACACAAAAAGAAAUAUGUUGCUUCUAUUUGUUCUAUACUACACCAAGCUUAUUACUGUCAUUGUUCAAAUCUUCCAUAUACUUAACUAAUCUUUAGUCAACCUGAUCCAUCAGAAGCAGUUAAAAAUACAUACUGUAAUUGUGGGCCAACUUUUCAUAAUUUUGUAAGUUUUUGCUUAAUAUAUUUUGAGGGUAUAUUGUUAAAUACAUAUAAGUUCAUGACACCUUGGUGGUUCAUUCCUUUAUUAUGUAGUGUUUCUUGUCCUAUUUAUACUUUUUCCCUUAAAUUCUAUUUUAUUUGUUAUUUAUGUAGCUUUCUUUUUGUUGGUAUUAGCCUGGUAUGUCUCUUUCCAUCCUAAUAUUUCAAUCAUGAGUUUUGUUUUAGGUAUAUAUCCCUUGUGGAUACAAACUGCUCCAUCUUCAAUUUAUUAAAUUUUGUGUUCUUUUAUUUUCCAUGUAAGUUUUAAGCUUCUUAGGUCUGCUUUUUUCCUUCUUACUGAAAAUCAUGGAAUUACAGAACUCAGCUUUGCAUAACUAGGAAAGAAUAAGAUUCUUUUUUUUUUUUUUUUUUUUUUUGAGACGGAGUCUCGCUCUGUCGCCCAGGCGGGAGUGCAGUGGCGCGAUCUCGGCUCACUGCAAGCUCCGCCUCCCGGGUUCACGCCAUUCUCCUGCCUCAGCCUCCCGAGUAGCUGGGAACUACAGGCGCCCGCUACCACGCCCGGCUAAUUUUUUUUUUUUUGUAUUUUUAGUAGAGACAGGGUUUCACCGUGUUAGCCAGGAUGGUCUCGAUCUCCUGACCUCGUGAUCCGCCCGCCUCGGCCUCCCAAAGUGCUGGGAUUACAGGCGUGAGCCACCGCGCCCGGCGAAAGAAUAAGAUUCUAAGAUGCAAACCUCAUUAAAAGGAAACUGGUGCACCCGGAAGACAAAUGUACCAAUGGCAAUUUGGUACAUGGGACGCUCAGAGCAUCUGUGUAAAUGUGAUUUUAUGUUUUGCUCUUGAGCCCCAGUGAGGUACAGUACACAAAAGGAUCGCUUCUAUUAACCUUGAGUUAGUUCAGAAUGUUUUCACUCCUUCAAAGUGCUCUUGUAUGACCUCUAGUUGGCCUAAUAAUUUAAUAAUUUUCCUGUGACUGUUAGGCUUUUUUUUUUCUUUUAUGUGAAAACCCAUAUGAAUUGUGUGUCAGGGAGUAGGCAAGAGGGUAGUCUUUCUGUAGCAUGACUGCAGGAGUUGCAUAUUUCUCAAAAAAGUAUUAAGUCUCUGAAAAGAACACAGCUCUACAGUUUCUACUGUAUAUAAGUC
rnacentral:lncRNA from 10 species